rnacentral:lncRNA from 1 species
CACCUUCUCUCGAAUAACUUCAUUCUUAAUCUUAUCUAACUUGGUGAGCCCGCACAUCCACCCGAGCAUCCUCAUCUCCGCAACCUUCAUCCUCUGAAUAUGAGACUUCUUCAAUGGUCAGCACUCCGCCCCAUACAACAUGGCCGGUUUAACCACAGUUCUAUAGAAUUUUUCCUUGAGUUUUUGUGGAACUUUCUUGUCACACAGGACUCCUGAUGCAAGCCUUCACUUUGACCACCCCGCUCCU